UAGACAGAAGCUCGCUGGUUUUGGGCAUCUAGCUGUUAAUUAGAGUUUUAUGGGAUCGAGGCCCAUCUGUCUAG
rnacentral:tRNA from 1 species